rnacentral:rRNA from 1 species
ACAGCAGUAGCCGCGGUAAUACGGAGGGUGCAAGCGUUGUCCGGAUUUAUUGGGUUUAAAGGGUGCGCAGGCGGGGGGGUCAGUCCGCGGUGAAAGACGAUCGCUCAACGAUUGCAGUGCCGUGGAUACUGCCCUUCUUGAAUCUGGUUGAGGCCGGUGGAAUUGACCGUGUAGCGGUGAAAUGCAUAGAUAUGGUCAAGAACUCCAAUUGCGAAGGCAGCCGGCUGGGCCAGCAUUGACGCUCAGGCACGAGAGUGCGGGGAUCAAACAGGAUUAGAUACCCGAGUAGUCCCUGUCUCUUAUAC